rnacentral:pre_miRNA from 1 species
GGGGGGAGGCCAGAUCCUGGGCUGUGUCCUGGCACCCUUGGCUCCUGGUCUACGCUGUUGGAUUUGUGCUCCCCACCACGCUGCCGCCU